CCAAAGCUGAGUCUGGGAAGGAGACAAGCUCAGCUUCUGUUCUGCUUUUCAGAGCCUUCUCUUAGGAGGGAGACACUCCAACUGAAGCAUCCAUGUUCUUCAGGACGGUCUCGAGAGCCUGGACAGCUCAGUGGAAGUUUCUCUUUGGACUGCUUUUCCUACGCAGAGAAAUCAAUGGGGAUAUUGCUCAGCCUCCAGAAGUCUUUGUCUCUUUAGGAAGAACAGCACAGAUCUCCUGUAACCAUGGAACCUCUUCAUACAGUCAGCUCUUUUGGUACAAGCACAGUCAGGACACAGCCCCUCACUCAAUCAUCAAUGGUAUAUUUGAGAAGGUACAAGAUGGACGUUUGACAAUGGACAUUGACAAGGGCAAGAUGUUGACAGAGCUCUCCAUCAGCAAGGCGGAGAUGGAAGACGCAGCGGUCUACUACUGUGCCGUGAGAGACACAGUGGUGGGAAAUGCAAGAGGAGCUGAACAGAAACUUGCAAGGGGAGGGGAGUGGCUUCAGUCCUCUUCUGUGAGCUGGAGGAUGCUCAGGUGCAAGUCCCGUUCUCUGUGA